GCACCUCCAAGGAAGGAAGGAAGGAGAUUGAGGUCGACACCUCCUGAAGGCAUGCAUGCUCUCCACCGAGAGAGGGAAGGGCAUCUUUUUCUUGGGUUGCAGUUUCCACCUUGUUGUUGGGUGAGCUGAUUCGUUGUUUGUCAGAGCUCUUGUGGAUAAUCAGACAUGGGGUUCAUGGCAAAAUUAGGACAGACUGAAGGCAGCAAAUUCCGCGUUGGCCGUGCACUUUGAGGAGAAGACAUUGUCUUUGUAUAAGUGCCCCUACAAUCAUCUCUUUACAACAGAGAUAAGGCCUUCAGGUUAUUCAGUCAACGCAUAUUCUGUCUUUUGGCAUGUGUAUGCUUGCUCUUGUGCUCAUGUUGUAAUCGUGACCUGUAAUCAGUCCAUGAUCCUUGUGUGACCAGAAGUUGGGCAUAACUGCAUUGUUA